rnacentral:lncRNA from 1 species
UUGUUUUGUUAUUGUCUUCAUGCUGAUUUCUGUCAUUGCAGCUAUAAAUAUAACACUGCAGGAAGAAUGCACCACCUCUGGAGGAUGUCUUCAAAAUCUCUUUGAGCAGAUAGAGAACAUUACAGCUCAAGUGCUUCCUUUAAAUAGGGACAAGUCUUCAUGGUUGGACCACAGGUCACUUUAGAUCAAAUCCCUCGACUUGACACGACAAAUUCAUCUGUGGACAUCGAUCUCAUUGGGAUCGCCAAGAACAACUAUGAAACACGUAUGUGAAAUGAUUCCGUGUGAUUAAAAAA